AUCCAGUGUCUGGGAGUCUGUGCGCAGUGAUCCAGUGUCUGGGAGUCGGUGCGCAGUGAUUCAGUAUCUGAACUAGGAGUCAGUGAUUCAGUGUCUGGGAUUCAAUGUGCAAUGAUUCAAUAUCUGAACUAGUAGUCGGUGCGCAGUGAUCCAGUGUCUGGGAGUCGGUGCGCAGUGAUCCAGUGUCUGGGAGUCGGUGCGCAGUGAUCCAGUGUCUGGGAGUCUGUGCGCAGUGAUCCAGUGUCUGGGAGUCGGUGCGCAGUGAUUCAGUAUCUGAACUAGGAGUCAGUGAUUC